GGUUAAGCGACUAAGCGUACACGGUGGAUGCCCUGGCAGUCAGAGGCGAUGAAGGACGUGCUAAUCUGCGAUAAGCGUCGGUAAGGUGAUAUGAACCGUUAUAACCGGCGAUUUCCGAAUGGGGAAACCCAGUGUGUUUCGACACACUAUCAUUAACUGAAUCCAUAGGUUAAUGAGGCGAACCGGGGGAACUGAAACAUCUAAGUACCCCGAGGAAAAGAAAUCAACCGAGAUUCCCCCAGUAGCGGCGAGCGAACGGGGAGCAGCCCAGAGCCUGAAUCAGUGUGUGUGUUAGUGGAAGCGUCUGGAAAGGCGCGCGAUACAGGGUGACAGCCCCGUACACAAAAAUGCACAUGCUGUGAGCUCGAUGAGUAGGGCGGGACACGUGGUAUCCUGUCUGAAUAUGGGGGGACCAUCCUCCAAGGCUAAAUACUCCUGACUGACCGAUAGUGAACCAGUACCGUGAGGGAAAGGCGAAAAGAACCCCGGCGAGGGGAGUGAAAAAGAACCUGAAACCGUGUACGUACAAGCAGUGGGAGCCUCUCUUUAUGGGGGGUGACUGCGUACCUUUUGUAUAAUGGGUCAGCGACUUAUAUUCUGUAGCAAGGUUAACCGAAUAGGGGAGCCGAAGGGAAACCGAGUCUUAACUGGGCGUUAAGUUGCAGGGUAUAGACCCGAAACCCGGUGAUCUAGCCAUGGGCAGGUUGAAGGUUGGGUAACACUAACUGGAGGACCGAACCGACUAAUGUUGAAAAAUUAGCGGAUGACUUGUGGCUGGGGGUGAAAGGCCAAUCAAACCGGGAGAUAGCUGGUUCUCCCCGAAAGCUAUUUAGGUAGCGCCUCGUGAAUUCAUCUCCGGGGGUAGAGCACUGUUUCGGCAAGGGGGUCAUCCCGACUUACCAACCCGAUGCAAACUGCGAAUACCGGAGAAUGUUAUCACGGGAGACACACGGCGGGUGCUAACGUCCGUCGUGAAGAGGGAAACAACCCAGACCGCCAGCUAAGGUCCCAAAGUCAUGGUUAAGUGGGAAACGAUGUGGGAAGGCCCAGACAGCCAGGAUGUUGGCUUAGAAGCAGCCAUCAUUUAAAGAAAGCGUAAUAGCUCACUGGUCGAGUCGGCCUGCGCGGAAGAUGUAACGGGGCUAAACCAUGCACCGAAGCUGCGGCAGCGACGCUGAUGCGUUGUUGGGUAGGGGAGCGUUCUGUAAGCCUGCGAAGGUGUGCUGUGAGGCAUGCUGGAGGUAUCAGAAGUGCGAAUGCUGACAUAAGUAACGAUAAAGCGGGUGAAAAGCCCGCUCGCCGGAAGACCAAGGGUUCCUGUCCAACGUUAAUCGGGGCAGGGUGAGUCGACCCCUAAGGCGAGGCCGAAAGGCGUAGUCGAUGGGAAACAGGUUAAUAUUCCUGUACUUGGUGUUACUGCGAAGGGGGGACGGAGAAGGCUAUGUUGGCCGGGCGACGGUUGUCCCGGUUUAAGCGUGUAGGCUGGUUUUCCAGGCAAAUCCGGAAAAUCAAGGCUGAGGCGUGAUGACGAGGCACUACGGUGCUGAAGCAACAAAUGCCCUGCUUCCAGGAAAAGCCUCUAAGCAUCAGGUAACAUCAAAUCGUACCCCAAACCGACACAGGUGGUCAGGUAGAGAAUACCAAGGCGCUUGAGAGAACUCGGGUGAAGGAACUAGGCAAAAUGGUGCCGUAACUUCGGGAGAAGGCACGCUGAUAUGUAGGUGAAGUCCCUCGCGGAUGGAGCUGAAAUCAGUCGAAGAUACCAGCUGGCUGCAACUGUUUAUUAAAAACACAGCACUGUGCAAACACGAAAGUGGACGUAUACGGUGUGACGCCUGCCCGGUGCCGGAAGGUUAAUUGAUGGGGUUAGCGCAAGCGAAGCUCUUGAUCGAAGCCCCGGUAAACGGCGGCCGUAACUAUAACGGUCCUAAGGUAGCGAAAUUCCUUGUCGGGUAAGUUCCGACCUGCACGAAUGGCGUAAUGAUGGCCAGGCUGUCUCCACCCGAGACUCAGUGAAAUUGAACUCGCUGUGAAGAUGCAGUGUACCCGCGGCAAGACGGAAAGACCCCGUGAACCUUUACUAUAGCUUGACACUGAACAUUGAGCCUUGAUGUGUAGGAUAGGUGGGAGGCUUUGAAGUGUGGACGCCAGUCUGCAUGGAGCCGACCUUGAAAUACCACCCUUUAAUGUUUGAUGUUCUAACGUGGACCCGUAAUCCGGGUUGCGGACAGUGUCUGGUGGGUAGUUUGACUGGGGCGGUCUCCUCCUAAAGAGUAACGGAGGAGCACGAAGGUUGGCUAAUCCUGGUCGGACAUCAGGAGGUUAGUGCAAUGGCAUAAGCCAGCUUGACUGCGAGCGUGACGGCGCGAGCAGGUGCGAAAGCAGGUCAUAGUGAUCCGGUGGUUCUGAAUGGAAGGGCCAUCGCUCAACGGAUAAAAGGUACUCCGGGGAUAACAGGCUGAUACCGCCCAAGAGUUCAUAUCGACGGCGGUGUUUGGCACCUCGAUGUCGGCUCAUCACAUCCUGGGGCUGAAGUAGGUCCCAAGGGUAUGGCUGUUCGCCAUUUAAAGUGGUACGCGAGCUGGGUUUAGAACGUCGUGAGACAGUUCGGUCCCUAUCUGCCGUGGGCGCUGGAGAACUGAGGGGGGCUGCUCCUAGUACGAGAGGACCGGAGUGGACGCAUCACUGGUGUUCGGGUUGUCAUGCCAAUGGCACUGCCCGGUAGCUAAAUGCGGAAGAGAUAAGUGCUGAAAGCAUCUAAGCACGAAACUUGCCCCGAGAUGAGUUCUCCCUGACUCCUUGAGAGUCCUGAAGGAACGUUGAAGACGACGACGUUGAUAGGCCGGGUGUGUAAGCGCAGCGAUGCGUUGAGCUAACCGGUACUAAUGAACCGUGAGACUUAACCUU
rnacentral:rRNA from 1 species